GACGUAGGGCGCGAGCGUUGUCCGGAUUUAUUGGGCGUAAAGAGCUCGUAGGCGGCUUGUCGCGUCGUCCGUGAAAACUUGGGGCUCAACCCCAAGCUUGCGGUCGAUACGGGCAGGCUAGAGUUCGGUAGGGGGAGACUGGAAUUCCUGGUGUAGCGGUGUAAAUGCGCAGAUAUCAGGAGGAACACCGGUGGCGAAGGCGGGUCUCUGGGCCGAUACUGACGCUGAGGAGCGAAAGCGUGGGGAGCGAACAGG
rnacentral:rRNA from 1 species